AGCCAUAAAAAAACCAGAGAAGAAAUGG
rnacentral:rRNA from 1 species